rnacentral:lncRNA from 1 species
UAACACUGUUCUGGUUUAGUAUGCUCGUAAAUGAAUAUAAACCAGAGUUUCAAUUCAGAAAAAGUUCAAAAGAUGCGAAAUUUGGGCAAUGUUUACAUCUGUGGGUCCCCCUUUGUUCUGAGCAGAACCAAUGCGCAGAACGGACUUGACAGCAUCUUUAAAGUUGAAUUUUUAUAGGAUAAACCGACUUACUGACCCCAAACCAUCUCUAACCCCUAACCUUUUGAGAGUUUAUAGAAAAGCCGGAA